rnacentral:rRNA from 1 species
UACGGAGGUGGCAAGCGUUGCUCGGAAUCACUGGGCGUAAAGGGCGCGUAGGCGGGGAGGUAAGUCGGGUGUGAAAUCCCUCGGCCCAACCGAGGAACUGCGCCCGAGACUGCUUCUCUUGAGUCCCGGAGAGGAAGAUGGAAUUCCCGGUGUAGCGGUGAAAUGUGUAGAGAUCGGGAGGAACACCGGUGGCGAAGGCGGUCUUCUGGACGGUGACUGACGCUGAGGCGCGAAAGCCAGGGUAGCGAACCGG